GGAAAUCUUUUGCAAAUAAUACUUUUAACUGCUAGCUUUUAUAUCUAUCUAUAUUUCCAGGAACUAUGUAUUUUAUUUCUAUCUGUAUUUCCAGGCGCUGGCUUAAAACAUGAAAGGUAUUCAGUAAAUGGAUACUUAUAUAAUGACAGGAUCUAACCACUGGCCUAAAGAUUAUUCAAGAUCCUGCUAAGAAAUUAAAGCCACAUGACAUUCUGAAAUAAAAGUGUGCAGAUGCUUGAGUGAAUCAGCCAAUUCCUCAUGUCUUCACGGCUCCAUCUACUAUCAUGCAACCAUAGUGCCACAAUUCACAUUUCCCAAGGACUUUACAGCUAGAAACCCAGAAAAGAUGGUGAUGAAUACAGAUUGGAUCUGAGAACCAGGGGAGCAGAUGGUGUGAAUCCCAGCUGGAAAGCCAGAGAAGAUGAGAUGAGAUGAGGCAUCACAGCUCAGCAAUGAGGAAAGACAAAAUGAGUGAAUUCCUCCUUUCUCCACCUUUGUUUCGUUUCAGGCCCUUAGAGGACUGGAUAAUUCCCAAGCAUAUUGGAGAGGACAAUCCACUUGACUGAGUCCACUGAUUCAAAUGCUAAUCUCAUCUAGAAAUAUUCUCACAGACACACUUAGAAAUAAUGUUUCAUUCAGGCACCCCUUGGCCAGUCAAGUUGCCACAUAGAAUUAACCAUCAUGUUCACUAUUACUCAUUUAGAAUUUCUGAUAGUAGGGCACAAGUAUGUGUGUUUGUUAAGGCCAAGUGACUUUGUUGAGCCUUUUGAGAAAAUAACUAUGAGAAGGAGAGAUUUGGUAACGUGAAGACCAUCACUUAGCCCUAAGGAAGACUACCUCAUUUAUGGGCCUAAAAUCAGAUUUGAUAAAUGGUCUGUUGAUCGUGAUUGCAAAUUUGUCUCCAGUGGUCAGAGUAUAUACCAAUGACUUUUUUUAAAAAUGCAGUCCCUUGUUAAAUGUUAAAUGCAACUCCUUCCAUAAUUCCCUUCCUAUCCAUGGAAAAGGAAGCUAUGGCAGAAACUGCAUUUAACAUUUAACAAGAAUAUAUUUAUGUAUAUAUCCAGAAGUAUAUCCAUAUACUACACUACAGACAUAUUUCUCUUUUCCCCACAGUCAACCAUUUUAGUAGGCUCAGUGUGGGUACUUUUAUUUGAAUAUGUUACUGAGUAUGUGCAUUUUUAAUUUUCAUAAAUGAUAUUGUUAUAUUGCUUAUUCUUCUUCCAAAGUUUUCCACUAG